rnacentral:lncRNA from 1 species
AUACUUUCUAAAAAAGUCAUUAACUAGGGGAAAAAGGUAAAACCACAAUGGGCGAUAUUUGUGGAUCAAAGUGUACAAGAGUUGGAUUUUAUAGCCAUCAUUUUACAUCUAACAAUUCAAAUUAUAAUUUGAGAGUUAUUACUACAAAAAGAUAUCCUUGUAAGGAAAAUGAUAAAAUGAACUAAUACAUGAAUUGCCC